UUAACGACGUUGAAGAGGAGUAGUAGGCAGUUUUUUCCGUUUCAGAGAGCCGGCGGUCGCUGCGAGCCGGUACGGAUAUCUGCUGAACUCGCCUCGGAGUCGCACCGGUGAAGCUGCUGGCCGCAGUUGUAGUUAGCCCGUGCCGUGAGCCUGCGUAAAGGGAUAACGAAGGUCUGCCGAAGCUUAGGCGAAGGCGGACGAAUUCAGGGUGGUACCGCGAAGCGUAAGCUCUCGCCCCUGUA
rnacentral:ncRNA from 1 species